rnacentral:rRNA from 1 species
GAUGAACGCUGGCGGCGUGCCUAAUACAUGCAAGUCGAGCGAACAGACGAGGAGCUUGCUCCUCUGACGUUAGCGGCGGACGGGUGAGUAACACGUGGAUAACCUACCUAUAAGACUGGGAUAACUUCGGGAAACCGGAGCUAAUACCGGAUAAUAUAUUGAACCGCAUGGUUCAAUAGUGAAAGACGGUUUUGCUGUCACUUAUAGAUGGAUCCGCGCCGCAUUAGCUAGUUGGUAAGGUAACGGCUUACCAAGGCAACGAUGCGUAGCCGACCUGAGAGGGUGAUCGGCCACACUGGAACUGAGACACGGUCCAGACUCCUACGAGAGGCAGCAGUAGGGAAUCUUCCGCAAUGGGCGAGAGCCUGACGGAGCAACGCCGCGUGAGUGAUGAAGGUCUUCGGAUCGUAAAACUCUGUUAUUAGGGAAGAACAAAUGUGUAAGUAACUAUGCACGUCUUGACGGUACCUAAUCAGAAAGCCACGGCUAACUACGUG